GUUGAUUCAAAAAAUUAUAUGAACUUUACAAGAUAACAAUGUAAUACAAAAAAAAUUAGCACAACAGUUUAUGAAUAUAAAAAGACAUGUGUAACAAUAAAAAAAAGUUUGAAAAAAAAAUUAGAACUUAAAAAUGGAUAAUUUUGGCAUUUUAAAAUAAUUAUGAGGACAAUUAUGUCAAAAUAAUUAAAAUGGUAAUGAUAUCUUUCUCUUUCCCUCCCCUCCCCUCCAAA
rnacentral:lncRNA from 1 species